CAUCAAAAUUAUUUUUGCCAU
rnacentral:snRNA from 1 species